AAAGCGCGCGCAGGUGGUUCCUUAAGUCUGAUGUGAAAGCCCACGGCUCAAUCGUGGAGGGUCAUUGGAAACUGGGGAACUUGAGUGCAGAAGAGGAAAGUGGAAUUCCACGUGUAGCGGUGAAAUGCGUAGAGAUGUGGAGGAACACCAGUGGCGAAGGCGACUUUCUGGUCUGUAACUGACACUGAGGCGCGAAAGCGUGGGGAGCGAACAGGAUUAGAUACCCUGGGUAGUCCACGCGUGUACACGAUGAGUGCUAAGUGUUAGAGGGUUUCCGCCCUUUAGUGCUGCAGCAAACGCAUUAAGCACUCCGCCUGGGGAGUACGGACGCAAGGCUGAAACUCAAAGGAAUUGACGGGGGCCCGCACAAGCGGUGGAGCAUGUGCUUUAAUUCGAAGCAACGCGAAGAACCUUACCAGGUCUUGACAUCCUCUGACACUCCUAGAGAUAGGACGUUCCCCUUCGGGGGACAGAGUGACAGGUGGUGCAUGGUUGUCGUCAGCUCGUGUCGUGAGAUGUUGGGUUAAGUCCCGCAACGAGCGCAACCCUUGAUCUUAGUUGCCAGCAUUCAGUUGGGCACUCUAAGGUGACUGCCGGUGACAAACCGGAGGAAGGUGGGGAUGACGUCAAAUCAUCAUGCCCCUUAUGACCUGGGCUACACACGUGCUACAAUGGAUAGAACAAAGGGCAGCAAAACCGCGAGGUCAAGCAAAUCCCAUAAAUCUAUUCUCAGUUCGGAUUGCAGGCUGCAACUCGCCUGCAUGAAGCCGGAAUCG
rnacentral:rRNA from 1 species